GACAGAGGUGCCAAGCGUUAGGCGGAAUCACUGGGCUUAAAGCGUGUGUAGGCGGAUCGUUAAGUACCUUGUGAAAUCCCACGGCUUAACCGUGGAACUGCUCGGUAUACUGGCGGUCUUGAGCAACCUAGGGGCGAGCGGAACAAAUGGUGGAGCGGUGAAAUGCGUAGAUAUCAUUUGGAACGCCAAUGGUGAAGACAGCUCGCUGGGGGUUUGCUGACGCUGAGACACGAAAGCCAGGGGAGCAAACGGG
rnacentral:rRNA from 1 species